UACAGAGGGUGCAAGCGUUGUUCGGAAUUACUGGGCGUAAAGGGCGUGUAGGCGGCUUAGUAAGUCAGAUGUGAAAUCCCGGGGCUUAACUCCGGAAGUGCAUCUGAAACUACUAGGCUAGAGUGAGGUAGAGGUUGGUGGAAUUCCCAGUGUAGAGGUGAAAUUCGUAGAUAUUGGGAGGAACACCGGUGGCGAAGGCGGCCAACUGGGCCUUAACUGACGCUGAGGCGCGAAAGCGUGGGGAGCAAACAGG
rnacentral:rRNA from 1 species